GUGGCUUAGUGGUUAGAGCAUCCGCCUCAGAUGCGAGAGAUCGUGUGUUUGAUCUCCUGUCGAGUCAUACCA